UGUUGUUUGGAGAGGAUCUAGAGCUGCCUGGUAGAGUACCAUUGCCAAAGUCUAUCUCAUAAAAAAAUAACGAUUUGCCCUUACGAGCACGUAAAAUGUCAUUACGAACUUUCGAGUUACUGAAUUCUACUUGGAUCAUCCCGUUCCUGGCACGGUAAUAGACCAGACCAGAUGAGCCAUUUAGCUCUCAACGUGCUCGCAAGCUACUCAGAUAGUCCCCCGGCGGCGGAUCUACCCUACUCCGACGGGGAGUCCCCCGGCGGCGGAAGCUCCCCCGAUACCGACGACCCGCAUUCGUGGAUGGCUGUUACAUUACCAACACUACACAUUCACCUGGUAUGCAUGUUCAUAGAUCCGCUCAAGUCCUACGCACAUUCUCACUUCAACGGGUGACCGGACGAGUGCCGAGGUCAGGCCAAAGAUUCCGGGUGGAGAUAGCUUCCGGUUCAGUGGUGCCCCGACGACCCGAAGCAGGUGCAUUCACGCGGCACGAUCUACUC